GACGAACGCUGGCGGCGUGCUUAACACAUGCAAGUCGAACGGAAAGGCCUUUUCGGAGGUACUCGAGUGGCGAACGGGUGAGUAACACGUGGGUGAUCUGCCCUGCACUCUGGGAUAAGCCUGGGAAACUGGGUCUAAUACCGGAUAGGACCGCACUUUAGUGUGUGUGGUGGAAAGUUUUUUCGGUGUAGGAUGAGCCCGCGGCCUAUCAGCUUGUUGGUGGGGUAAUGGCCUACCAAGGCGGCGACGGGUAGCCGGACUGAGAGGUUGGUCGGCCACAUUGGGACUGAGAUACGGCCCAGACUCCUACGGGAGGCAGCAGUGGGGAAGAUUGGACAAUGGGCGCAAGCCUGAUGCAGCGACGCCGCGUGGGGGAUGACGGCCUUCGGGUUGUAAACUCCUUUCGCCAGGGACGAAGCGUUUUGUGACGGUACCUGGAGAAGAAGCACCGGCUAACUACGUG
rnacentral:rRNA from 1 species